AUGAAGUGUCGACAAUCGGCAAUGUUUAUAAAGGAAACGAAAAUGGAAAUUCUCUUUAACCAACAGGACUACUUUUAAAGUUUAAAGAUCUACUGUCCAUUUAUGUUUGAUUCAAGUCCAGUCGAUUUAUAAUUUAGUAAAGAUCCAUGUCCAGUCAAUGUGAUCCUUGUCCAGUCAAGUUGUUAUUAUAGUCCAUGUGAUCCUUGUCCAGCCAAGUUGUUAUUAUAGGCUUAAACAAGUAAAUAUGAUUUAUAGUUAAUUUUCACAGAUGCUUUAGAUGAUGGCACAACCUUAUACUUAUAAAAUAGGCUGACCUCAGAGGUACAUUCAUCAGUAUUUAUCUAAUUAACCUGGGAAAGUGCAACAGAUGUUCUGGUGUUCCAUGGAAAGAGUCACAUUCUGCUUGUAGAAUACAUUUGUACAUCAUUUAGGAUAUAAUGGAGGAUUGGCAUGAGAAACUUACUACAGCUGCUGGGAAUGGAGAUAUAGAAGCCUUAAAAUUAAGCCUACAGAAUGGUGCAGACAUUGAUUAUCAAGAUG